GUUGAAUUAGAAUAUAUUUUAAACCGAACUGGUCAUUUCAAUUUGGAAAAGAUCCAAACUGAAACCGUCUCUCUAAAAUAGAAGGUAAUAAGGUUGCUACUUGCUGGCGAUGGCCUGUUUGCCACAUAAAAAGAAAUGAACAAAUUACAAAAAUAAAGCCAGUUACAUUUUCUGUAGAAACCUUUGCUACAUCAAUUGCCAAAAAGAAAAGAAAAUAAAAAAGCACACAUUCAAAAUUUCUCACUUAUUCGUAUCAAAGCAGCAGCUGAUAGCAUCAUUAUUUCCACUCAGCCAUAUAAUCACCAGUCACGAUGAGGUCAGGAGCCAUUCUGUUGACUAGAAUUAACUCUCAAGCACCUUAAGAGGGAAGAGUACUCUGAAUGUUUGAAGGCAUCAAGAUGUUGAAACCAUCCGCUGCAGUGGACACGAGCAUACCAGGAAUCUGGCCAUGCCAAUGAAGCUCUUUCAAAUCUUUUUGUCCCUGAUGAACAAACAAAAGCUGAGGGGGUAUAUCUGCUGGAGCAUUCACCUGCUCAUUUGUUUUAGCUCUAAAUUCUGCUUCCUCUUCCUCAUCCUUCUCUAAAGAAAGGUCCCAUAUUGUCAACUGAUUGUCAGAUGAUGAAACUGCUAGAACAGAGGCUUCAUGUGGACUCCACUCAAUGGAUGUUACAGGUUGCUUAUAGUAUUGAAAAUGUGCGACGACUGAUUUAUCUUCUUCCUGAUUUUGUGAUAACAAUCUAAGAUCACGAAUAGAAAAUGUCCCAUCAUCACUUCCAGAUGCCAGCAUAACGCUAGCCAACCUGUUCCAUGAAAUAACAUUCACAUCCGCAUUAUGUGCCUUGAAAGAAAUUGCUGGUGACUUCCCCAAGCGGAUAUCCCAUAUUGCAAUACUUCCAUCAACAGAACAAGAGGCAAAUACCUCAUCUUCCGUAGGGCUCCAUUGUAGAUCCUCCACACUUGCAGAAUGUCCAAUAAAUGAGGCACUACCAACAUUCCAUGUUGCACCAGAUGUAGGCUCCCAUAAGUGAAUACAAUUCUUGCAGUCACCAGAUACCAGCCUUCCAGUAACACGAGGACUCCAAUCUAUUGCAUAACCUUCAUCUUUAUGCCCUCCAAACUUAAAUAAAGGAGCCUGAUUAAAAACUGAAGAGCCUCCCUGGUUAACUUCUGCUUCUGAUUGUGCUAAAGCAUUCAGAUGAGCAUUAAAAUCCCAUAUCUGAACAUGACCAGUAUCCGACCAAGAUGCACAUAUAUGGGGAUUUUGUGUCAUUGCACGUAUACGAUUGACACAUCCUUCCUGAGCUACCUUGCGUAACUGCAAAGCUGGUGUCAAAGAUCCACCAUUCUCCUCAUCUUCACCAUCUUCAUCACUAUCACUACAAUCAGUAUCCAUGUCAGUGUCACCGGAUGUUUUUUGGGUGGGCACCAAUUCACGCCUUUUACCAGAAAUAUUAGAUACUUUGAAUAUUCCAAUAGAGUUAUAAGAAGCUUUUUCUGCCUGAGUCCCUGCAACCAAAUACACUGUGUGGGGAAAUUCCGUACGAAGCAAACCCAAGGAAUCACGUACUAUAUCAAAACUCAAGCAAGGCCAGCCAAUGUGAAAGCCAUGAAGAGAAUUGUAGGCAGAGGGGUCACACUCGAGCUCCUCGCCUUCCUCCAGCUUGUCCACCCCUGGUUGCCACACCGUUGUGGGCAUUGACGGUAUAGAAGACGAAGAAGAUGAUCCAUCUCCUUUCUUUGAGCCCUUGUUUUUUCUCUUGGCCUUUUUAGGGUUUUUGACGCUGCGAACCAUUUUUGCAGUUUCUAGGGUUCAGAGGAGAAGUCUUGCUGCAAGUGAAGUGAAGGAGAUACGUGGAGCUAGGGUUUUAGCAGACUUCUUAGAGUGUUUUUAU
rnacentral:misc_RNA from 1 species